AAUGAACGUUGGCGGCGUGGAUUAGGCAUGCAAGUCGAGCGAGAUCUGUAGCAAUACAGUGAAAGCGGCGAAAGGGAGAGUAAUACGUAGGUACCUGCCCUCGGGUCUGGGAUAGCUGCGGGAAACUGCAAUUAAUACCAGAUGACGUCUGAGGACCAACGGUGUGAUUCCGCCAGGGGAUGGGCCUGCGUCCUAUCAGCUAGUUGGUGUGAUAAAGGCGCACCAAGGCAAAGACGGGUACGGGGUGUGAGAGCAUGCCCCCGCUCACUGGGACUGAGACACUGCCCAGACACCUACGGGUGGCUGCAGUCGAGAAUCUUCCGCAAUGGGCGAAAGCCUGACGGAGCGACGCCGCGUGUGGGAUGAAGGCCUUCGGGUUGUAAACCACUGUCAGUGGGGAGCAAAUGGCUAGGGGUUCUCCCCUAGUCUUGAGCGAUCCGCAGAGGAAGCACAGGCUAGUUCCGUGCCAGCAGCCGCCGUAACAC
rnacentral:rRNA from 1 species